rnacentral:misc_RNA from 1 species
UACGAAAGGGGCUAGCGUUGUUCGGAAUUACUGGGCGUAAAGCGCACGUAGGCGGCUUGGUAAGUUGGGGGUGAAAUCCCGGAGCUCAACUCCGGAACUGCCUUCAAAACUACUAGGCUAGAGGAUGCGAGAGGUUGGCGGAAUUCCGAGUGUAGAGGUGAAAUUCGUAGAUAUUCGGAAGAACACCAGUGGCGAAGGCGGCCAACUGGCGCAUUUCUGACGCUGAGGUGCGAAAGCGUGGGGAGCAAACAGG